GGUAAAAUGGCUGAGUAUUAGGUAAUAAAUUGUAAAUUUAUUUAGGGGAUUUUAAUCUCUUUUACCA
rnacentral:tRNA from 1 species